rnacentral:rRNA from 1 species
CUACGGGCCGCUGCAGUGGGGAAUAUUGCACAAUGGAGGAAACUCUGAUGCAGCAACGCCGCGUGGAGGAUGACACUUUUCGGAGCGUAAACUCCUUUUAUAUAGGAAGAUAAUGACGGUACUAUAUGAAUAAGCACCGGCUAACUCCGUGCCAGCAGCCGCGGUAAUACGGAGGGUGCAAGCGUUACUCGGAAUCACUGGGCGUAAAGAGCGUGUAGGCGGGUUAAUAAGUCAGAAGUGAAAUCCUAUGGCUCAACCAUAGAACUGCUUUUGAAACUGUUAACCUAGAGUGUGGGAGAGGUAGAUGGAAUUUCUGGUGUAGGGGUAAAAUCCGUAGAGAUCAGAAGGAAUACCGAUUGCGAAGGCGAUCUGCUGGAACAUAACUGACGCUGAGACGCGAAAGCGUGGGGAGCAAACAGGAUUAGAUGCCCCCGUAGUC